rnacentral:misc_RNA from 1 species
UCCUUUGUGAGCUGUGGGUAACC